CAAUAGCGUAUAUUAAAGCUGUUGCGGUUAAAAAGCUCGUAGUUGGAUUUCUGUCAAGGACAACUGGUCCGCCCUCCGGGUGAGCACAUAGUUUGGUCUUGGCAUCUUGCUGGAAGCUGUUGCUGCACUUGGCUGUGUGGCGCAGCGUCCAGCACUUUCACUUUGAGGAAAUCGGAGUGUUUCAAGCAGGCACAUGCCUUUGGACACAGUAGCAUGGAAUAAUUAGAUUGGGCUUUUGCUCCAAUUUGUCGGUUUCUGGAGCUGAGGUGAGAAUUAAUGGGGAUUGUUGGGGGCAUCCGAAUUUAGCCGUCAGAGGUGAAAUUCUUGGAUCUGCUAAAGACGGACAACUGCGAAAGCGUUUGCCCAGGAUGUUUUCAUUGA
rnacentral:rRNA from 1 species